rnacentral:rRNA from 1 species
UGGGGAAUAUUGGACAAUGGGCGAAAGCCUGAUCCAGCCAUGCCGCGUGUGUGAAGAAGGUCUUCGGAUUGUAAAGCACUUUAAGUUGGGAGGAAGGGCAGUAAGCGAAUACCUUGCUGUUUUGACGUUACCAACAGAAUAAGCACCGGCUAACUCUGUG